UACGUAGGGUGCGAGCGUUAAUCGGAAUUACUGGGCGUAAAGCGUGCGCAGGCGGUUUUGUAAGCCAGAUGUGAAAUCCCCGGGCUUAACCUGGGAAUGGCAUUUGGGACUGCAAGGCUGGAGUGUGGCAGAGGAGACUGGAAUUCCUGGUGUAGCAGUGAAAUGCGUAGAUAUCAAGAGGAACACCAGUGGCGAAGGCGAGUCCCUGGACAACACCUGACACUGAGGCACGAAAGCUAGGGGAGCAAACAGG
rnacentral:rRNA from 1 species